CAACCAUCAAGCCCCCAGGCUUGUGUUGGGGGCCUGCGGCUGCCGCAGCCCCCUAAAAGCAGUGGCGGGCUCGCUGUCAUUCCGAGCGCAGUAGUUAUAUCUCGCUCUGGGCGUGGCGGCGGGUACCUGCCGUGAAACCACUUCUAA
rnacentral:misc_RNA from 1 species